AUAUAAAUCAAAAUACGUGUGUGAUAUUUUAUACCGAGUGAGUUGAUAAU
rnacentral:guide_RNA from 1 species